GUUUUUAUCUUACACACGCUUGUGUAAGAUAGUUA
rfam:Alfalfa mosaic virus (strain 425 Leiden) RNA 1 of complete genome.